UGAGGAAUAUUGCGCAAUGGGGGCAACCCUGACGCAGCGACGCCGCGUGAGUGAGGAAGGCCUUCGGGUCGUAAAGCUCUGUCAAAGGGAAAGAAGUGCAUGGUGGUUAAUACCCGCCAUGUUUGACGGUACCCUUAAAGGAAGCACCGGCUAACUCCGUGCCAGCAGCCGCGGUAAUACGGAGGGUGCAAGCGUUGUUCGGAAUUACUGGGCGUAAAGGGCGCGUAGGCGGUUUUAUAAGUCAGAUGUGAAAGCCCACGGCUUAACUGUGGAAGUGCAUUUGAAACUGUGAGACUUGAGUACCAGAGGGGAAAGUGGAAUUCCCGGUGUAGAGGUGAAAUUCGUAGAUAUCGGGAGGAAUACCGGUGGCGAAGGCGACUUUCUGGCCCUAUACUGACGCUGAGACGCGAAAGCGUGGGUAGCAAACAGGAUUAGAUACCCGGGUC
rnacentral:rRNA from 1 species